GUCGGGAGUUAGGAAAUGCAAGGGUGUUAAUAGCAUCUUUGCUUGACUAAGGCUCCGGAGGAAGCCACGGCUAACUCUGUGCCAGCAGCCGCGGUAAUACAGAGGCGGCAAGCGUUGUUCGGAAUUAUUGGGCGUAAAGAGCACGUAGGCGGCCGUGUAAGUCGGUUGUGAAAGCCUUCCGCUCAACGGGAGAACGGCAUCCGAUACUGCAUGGCUAGAGUGCGGGAGGGGAGAGUGGAACUUCUGG
rnacentral:rRNA from 1 species